rnacentral:rRNA from 1 species
UACGUAGGGGGCAAGCGUUGUCCGGAAUUAUUGGGCGUAAAGAGCGUGUAGGCGGUCCGGUAAGUCAGCUGUGAAAGUCAAGGGCUCAACCCUUGAAAGCCGGUUGAUACUGUCGGGCUAGAGUCCGGAAGAGGCGAGUGGAAUUCCCGGUGUAGCGGUGAAAUGCGCAGAUAUCGGGAGGAACACCAAUGGCGAAGGCAGCUCGCUGGGACGGUACUGACGCUGAGACGCGAAAAGCGUGGGGAGCAAACAGGG